CAUCCAUGGAUAACCCACAGGAGGGCUCGGAGAUUUUCCUCGACAAUUCGGGCCUCCAAAUGUUCGACCCAAGAAACAUCCGGCACCCCCGUUCGGAAGAAUGGUCACCACCUGAGCAUUUGGCAAGGUUUAUGCAUUUCUGGCUCAGAAAACCGCUAGACAAGGAAGUAAGAAACCGGAUGAGAUCCGAAUGCCCUCGCCCUAGUCUACCGGACAAAGUGACGCACACCCCCGAGUUUGACCCACUCAUGACUACGUUCAUGUCCCGAGGGGGUCGGGAUCCGCGCAAGGACAUAGAGCGCGGCUUUAAAGGAGCGCAAGAUAAGCUGCUAGAUGCCAUUGGGCCACUAGCCAGAAUCAUGGAUAUGGCGGAUGAAGCCUAUGAGAGGGCUGACACUUUCACCCCAGAUACGGUGCGUGAAUGGGCACGAGAUACCCGUGAAUGGGC